GCCAGGUCCACCCUGCCCGCUCUUCUAGGCUGGCUCCCACCCAGUCUUGUCUGUGAAGCCCUCCCAGGCCCCAGAGACUGCGAGGCCUCUUCCUUUGCUAGGCUCAGACUGUCUUCUUCACGUUUGGGAUUAGAUACACCAGUUCUUGUAUUUUACUCCUUCUGACAGUUUUUUGUAAAGCUCUCACAAUUGGCUUCCCCUUCAAUUGAUUCAUCUCUCUCGCCCUCAGCCACCAAAGUGCCAUGUUAAGUGUGGAAAUGAAUCCAUUAUAAUGUGUGGACUUGAUUUGAAGUGGGAUGAGCACCCAAUGGGAGUCAGGGCCUUUGGGUUCUAGCUCCAACUUUGCCCCUUUCCUGGCUUCUGGGAACCCAGUCCAGUGGGAAAGACACGGAAUAGCUUAUUCCUGCGUCUUCUCUCUCUCCAUCAGGCCCUUGGGAUUCUGUUUUCAUGCUUCUAAUGUAGUAGCCUGAGCCCACCAGCAACAGAAGGAUGAAUUCCCCCACCCGCACGCCCAGCACUGCAGAUGAUGCAGGGCGAAGUGAGGCAGCCUCUGAGAUGCUGACCACUGUCUUCUCUCUCCUUGAGGCUCUGCAAGCGGGUCACCUCAGGUCACAGGCCUUGUGAAAAAGGACUAAAUUUGGCAAAUCAGGUUAAGGGAGUGACUUGAGUUGAUCAAAGGAACCUUCUUGAAGAAGACAGAAAGUGAGAAAGGCCUUGGGAGUGCGGCCCAAGGACAGAAAUGGCUCCCUUUGAAGAUGGGGAGCCCCGAGGAUGUCCUCCUAACCAGGCCCCCGCCCCAACGCUGGAGGAGCCUGCGCGUGAAGGUGGUGAUAAGAGAAGUGAAAGCACACAUCCACGCAAAGGCUGUGCACAGACUCACACGCAGAUGGUGAGCAGCUUUCCUUGUCACAGCCCCAAGCUGGCAACAACCCAAGGACCCAUCAACAGGUGCCUGGACAAACACAUUCUGGUAUAGCCAUCCAUGGGAACACUAGUCAGCAAUAAAAAGGAAUGAAUGGCUGAUUCA
rnacentral:lncRNA from 1 species